AAGGAGAAUCCCGCAAAGGAAGCAGGUCGCGCAGCCAGAAUCCUCCGGUAAAUAUUUAGAAAACAGUGAAAGGUUUUCUUCUUCUGCUACUUUUCUAACGCACAGCACACGAAUGAGCGCAUGGUGCGGGGCUUUUCUGCUCGUCCGGUUCCCGGUCGGUGUGAAGCUGAGUGAAGAGCCGCGGCGGAGACUCGGAAGCGGGACUCCUCUCUCUGAUGUGAUGAUGGAGCGGAAAGCGCUCUGAGAUGAAGUGCAACGCAUCCCCCCCGCCUGCGUCCUGCUGGAACGUCGCUGACUGCCGCAUGCGCUGCCACGUGAAGGCUGCGUAACCGAGAGCGCGGCGUAUCAUGACUCUCGCCCAAUGAUCACUGGAGACCAGGGAUCGUGCAGGGAUAGACGGG